UAUUCUUACUCUAUCAAUAUCAAAAAUUUGAUUUCCAGGCAUUUUUCGACAAGUAGAUACAAAUUAUUUUGGUUGCUAUUUACACCAGAUACAGAAAUUGUAACCAACGCUGUGUUAAAAGUAAAAAAAAACAUUAUUGCCGAUGACAAAAAACUGCAGUUUCUAUAAAAACGUUUUUGUUUAUUUUUUAUGAGGGUGGUCCAAAAGUUCUGACGUUAGUAUAGUAUUUUGUAAACAAAAUUUACGUAUUAUUUGACCUGUAAGAUAAUAAACUUAUUUACCACGUAUCAUAAAAUAUAGUGCGCAUUAACACCAUGAAGAUGAAAUUCUCUGUUCAAUGUUUGUUAUAUUGUUUUUUAGCUAUAUUCAUUUAUGGUGCUGCGUGUGAAACGUUGAUCAAGGUAAAAGUGGAGUGUCCGGAGGGUUUUAAACAAAUUAUGACACGGAAUAAAUAUGUCUGCAAAGAAGUAAUAAGGAAUUGACUCAAUCAAUGACCUGAUACAACAAAAAAUAGUUCAAAUUGAUCAUAAUUAUACAAUUUAUAACAUGUACUUUUAGUUUAAUAUAAUUUUAAAGCUGA